rnacentral:rRNA from 1 species
UACAGAGGGUGCGAGCGUUGUCCGGAAUCACUGGGCGUAAAGGGCGCGUAGGCGGCUCAGUAAGGUUGCGGUGAAAGCCCGGGGCUCAACCCCGGGUCGGCCGUGGCAACUGCUGGGCUGGAGCACUGUAGAGGCAGGUGGAAUUCCGGGUGUAGCGGUGGAAUGCGUAGAGAUCCGGAAGAACACCGGUGGCGAAGGCGGUCUGCUGGGCAGUAGCUGACACUGAUGCGCGACAGCGUGGGGAGCAAACAGG